rnacentral:rRNA from 1 species
CAAUAGCGUAUAUUAAAAUUGUUGCGGUUAAAACGCUCGUAGUUGGAUAUUUGUUGAGAACAGCCGGUCUACCCUCAGCGGUCAGCACACGGUUCGUCCUCGGCACUUUCCUGGGGAGCGUGUUCGCACUUCAUUGUGUGGCACAUGAUCCAGAACUUUUACUUUGAGGAAAUGAGAGUGUUUCAAGCAGGCGCCUGUCGUGAAUACGUUAGCAUGGAAUAAUAGCAUAGGACCGCGGCUAACGCUGUUGGUUGUUGGACCGAGGUAAUGAAAAUAGGGAUAGUUGGGGGUAGUUCGUAUUUAACUGUCAGAGGUGAAAUUCUUGGAUUUUUAAAGUACGGACUACUGCGAAAGCAUCUGCCCAGGAUGUUUUUAUUGAUCAAGAACGAAAGUUAGGGGAUCGAAGAUGAUCAGAUACCGU